rnacentral:rRNA from 1 species
UACGUAGGGUGCGAGCGUUAAUCGGAAUUACUGGGCGUAAAGCGCACGUAGGCGGACUAUUAAGUCAGGGGUGAAAUCCCGGGGCUCAACCCCGGAACUGCCUUUGAUACUGGUAGUCUCGAGUCCGGAAGAGGUGAGUGGAAUUCCGAGUGUAGAGGUGAAAUUCGUAGAUAUUCGGAGGAACACCAGUGGCGAAGGCGGCUCACUGGUCCGGUACUGACGCUGAGGUGCGAAAGCGUGGGGAGCAAACAGG